GGCAUUGGUGGGGCAGGCAUCAGGGGGCCAGGUGUGGGGGGUUCCGGUGUGGGGGGCCAGGAGUCAGGGGGCCCAGGCAUUGGGGGGCCCAGCCACGGGGACUGGGGCAGCUCUCAGGCGACACUCGCGGCCACCCUGGGGCGUCCCCCUGCGCCCACACCCUGGCCUGACCCGUCCAGGCCGGGAGGAUGCGACAUCCGCGGGGUCAGGCUGCUCCCGAGUCCUGGCCUCCUGGCCGUUCGGGGCCGCGGCCGGGCCUCUGAGAGCCGCGCUUCCUGAUUCGGAGCCCGGCCUGGCCCCGGGGGCGCAGCUGUGGUUGCUCAGCCCGUGAUAAAAAGGGCAAACAAUGGGGGGAAGUGCCCAUUGACCUGCUCCUUUUCUUACUUAUCACUGAAAAAAUACCCUCGGAGAGUGUGGGGAGGGCGCUCGCCCGGCCUCCCCGCCCCCCGCGCGGCCGCCUGCUCCCGCUGCCAUCCCACUGCGGGGCCCCGGCGAGGUGCCAGCUCUCCGGCCUGACGGCGCCCCCGCCCCGGCAGCUCCCAGAACAAGGCUCCCACGACCCUGGGGCAGGCCUGGCCACUGCGUGCCGGAGACCGAGGGCCGUGCUGUGGGAGCAGGGUCCCCAGACCGCGUCCCGCACACCCUCCGUCCUGCCAGGCGGUCGGGCGUCCCAGCAGGUGGCCGGUGGCUGGGGCCCGGGGCACGUGAGCCCCUCCGGUCGCCCAGACAGCCCGGCAGGCGCGGCAGGCAGGGUGCGUGUGGCCGGUCCCGGCCGCUGACCCGCGGGGAGAGCCCCGGGCGGCCCCGAGCCUCCUGCAGACGCCCCCUCCGACGCGAGCCGCGGCCCCUGAAAGCUGAGGGCGUCCCCACUCCCCACAGAGAGGAGGAGGGCAAGUGGGAGCCCCAGUCCCGACCAGGGCCCCAGGGGGUCCCCCAGCACGCGGGGGCGGCGCGGUUUCAGCCCCGCGGGAGCCUGUGCCGAGUCGCCUGCGGCUCCAGCCCCACCGGCAGGGCCCGGCCCCCGGGGG
rnacentral:lncRNA from 12 species